rnacentral:rRNA from 1 species
UGGGGAAUAUUGCACAAUGGGCGCAAGCCUGAUGCAGCCAUGCCGCGUGUGUGAAGAAGGCCUUCGGGUUGUAAAGCACUUUCAGCGGGGAGGAAGGCGAUAAGGUUAAUAACCUUGUCGAUUGACGUUACCCGCAGAAGAAGCACCGGCUAACUCCGUGCCAGCAGCCGCGGUAAUACGGAGGGUGCAAGCGUUAAUCGGAAUCACUGGGCGUAAAGCGCACGCAGGCGGUCUGUCAAGUCGGAUGUGAAAUCCCCGGGCUCAACCUGGGAACUGCAUUCGAAACUGGCAGGCUAGAGUCUUGUAGAGGGGGGUAGAAUUCCAGGUGUAGCGGUGAAAUGCGUAGAGAUCUGGAGGAAUACCGGUGGCGAAGGCGGCCCCCUGGACAAAGACUGACGCUCAGGUGCGAAAGCGUGGGGAGCAAACAGG